UACGGAGGGUGCAAGCGUUAUCCGGAUUCACUGGGUUUAAAGGGUGCGUAGGCGGGCAGGUAAGUCAGUGGUGAAAUCUCCGAGCUUAACUCGGAAACUGCCAUUGAUACUAUCUGUCUUGAAUAUUGUGGAGGUAAGCGGAAUAUGUCAUGUAGCGGUGAAAUGCUUAGAUAUGACAUAGAACACCAAUUGCGAAGGCAGCUUACUACACAAUGAUUGACGCUGAGGCACGAAAGCGUGGGGAUCAAACAGG
rnacentral:rRNA from 1 species